rnacentral:rRNA from 1 species
AUGGCCGCCUUGCUCCACGUAAUGGCUCUCCAGCCCGCCCCUUACCCUCAUCACCAACAGAUGCACAGCCUAUCCUCCACUUCCAUCCUUUCACCACCUCGCGCGACGCCGUCCAGGCAACGACGAGCCCCGGCCCGGCGGCUACACGCGGCCGGCAACGGCAGCGGCGUCGGCACGCCAGCCGCGGACAGCACAGGAAACAAGAAGACGAGCCGCAAGGAGAAGCAGCGGCAGCAGCAGCGGGUGCGGGAGCGGGAGGAGCAGCAGCAGCUGCUGCUCCUGAAGGAGUCGCUCGUGGAGCCCGCCCGCGAGGAGGACGGCGGCGGCCGCGGCGACGACGAGCUGCCGCAGGUGGUGUUCGACCGCAUCCUCCGGCGGAUCCUGUUCACGGUGGGCGUCCCGAUGGCGUCGGGCGUGGCGCUCCUCAACGUGUACGACGCGCUCAAGCGCGGCGGCGGGGCGGAGGUGCCGUCGUGGGUGCAGCUGCUCACCAUCCUCCUCUCCUUCGGCACGUCGGCGCUCGGCAUCGCCUACGGGACGCUGUCGGCGAGCUGGGACCCGGAGAAGGAAGGCUCGCUGCUCGGCGUCGACGAGGCCCGGACCAACUGGCCGGAGCUGUGGAAGGAAGAGAUCGACAAGGAUAACAAGUAG